UGAACGCUGGCGGCGUGCCUAAUACAUGCAAGUCGAGCGAGAAAAGGGAGACACUUCGGUAGAACCCUGAGUAAAGCGGCGGACGGGUGAGUAACACGUAGGUGACCUGCCCUGGAGAGGGGGACAAGCACUGGAAACGGUGUGUAAUACCCCAUAAGCUCACAGACGUUAAGAGGAUGUGAGAAAAGGAUUUAUCGCUUCAGGAGGGGCCUGCGGGCCAUCAUGCUAGUUGGUAGGGUAAAGGCCUACCAAGGCUAAGACGGAUAGGGGGCCUGAGAGGGUGACCCCCCACACGGGAACUGAGACACGGUCCCGACUCCUACGGGAGGCAGCAGUAAGGAAUAUUGCACAAUGGGCGAAAGCCUGAUGCAGCAACGCCGCGUGUGUGAAGAAGGCUUUCGGGUUGUAAAGCACUUUUCUGGCAGAAGAGGAAGGACAGUAUGCCAGGAAUAAGAGUCGGCUAACUAC
rnacentral:rRNA from 1 species